rnacentral:rRNA from 1 species
CCUACGGGGGGCUGCAGUCGAGAAUCUUCGGCAAUGAGCGCAAGCUUGACCGAGCAAUGCCGCGUGCGGGAAGAAGGCCUUCGGGUUGUAAACCGCUGUCAGAGGGAACGAAGUGCCAGUGGGUACUCUCAUUGGUUUGACUGAUCCUCAAAGGAAGGGUGGGCUAAGUUCGUGCCAGCAGCCGCGGUAAGACGUACCACCCGAACGUUAUUCGGAUUUACUGGGCUUAAAGAGUCCGUAGGCGGCCAAGUAAGUUGGGUGUGAAAUACCUCGGCUUAACCGAGGAGCUGCAUUCAAAACUACUUGGCUUGAGAGAGACAGAGGUGAGCGGAACUGAUGGUGGAGCGGUGAAAUGCGUUGAUAUCAUCAGGAACACCGGUGGCGAAAGCGGCUCACUGGGUCUUAUCUGACGCUCAGGGACGAAAGCUAGGGGAGCGAACGGGCUUAGAUACCCUAGUAGUC